CAAGGUUGACGACACAAGGUUGCAGCAAUACUGCUAUAUCAUGACUCUAUCGGACUUGUUGGAAAACCUUGUAACAAGCCUGAUAAUAAUUUAUUAAGUUGUUAACAAUUUGUAACAACCUUGUUGAUACUGAUCAGAUUUGUUGCAAGGUCGAUACAGUCAUGAUAUAACAAUAUUGUUACAACCUUGUGUCGUCAACAUUC